rnacentral:rRNA from 1 species
UGCCCGGGAAAUUUUUUAACGGCCGCAGUACCCUGACUGUGCAAAGGUAGCAUAAUCAUUUGACUUUUAAUUGGAGCCUAGAAUGAAUGGUAGAACGUAAAUAACUUGUCUCGCCUGCAUUAUUUUGAAAUUAAUAUAUGAGUGAAAAUGCUCAUAAAUUUAAAAAUAGACGAGAAGACCCUUAGAAUUUUAAAAAUAUUGCGGGGAGGCCUUGUAAGAUUUUUUGUUGGGGCAACAAUAUUUCAUAAAAUAAAUAUAUUAUUGGAGGUAUAGGUCGAUUAAAUAAUAAUAAAAAAAUUACCUAAGGGAUAACAGCAUAA